rnacentral:sRNA from 1 species
GCUGGGCGUGGUGGCGGGCGCCUGUAGUCCCAGCUACUCGGGAGGCUGAGGCAGGAGAAUGGCUUGAACCCAGGAGGUGGAGCUUGCAGUGAGCCGAGAUCGCACCACUGCACUCCAGCCUGGGUGACAGAGUGAGACUCUGUCUCAA